AUGAUGAUGAUAAAGCAGAAGGGAAAAAAUCUGGGAAACAAAUUUGAUUUUAUCAUUGAAAUGAAGAAGGAGUUUCUGUUCUUAUUAUUAGAAAAUAGAAUUAAAAUAGAGAAUUCCUAAAAUUCCACUGGGAAGUGCUCAGGAGAUAAUACUGUGGAUGGAAGAGAGAGCCUUGAAGGCAAAUUGUCUACGGGGAGUUGUGUGCUCCUCAUCUUUCUCCACUUGUCUAAAGAGCAGGCACCUGCUGGAUCAUCACUUACCUGAUGUGACAUGAUACAGAGCGCUUCAGCAAGCCUGUGAGUUACCGUGUCUUUCUUGGGAUCAGAAGGACUUAAAGCAGGUGGCAGUCUGGUAGGUGAGAACUCUCCUGGUCAAACUUGAAACACUUGUCAGGACACUGGAUCAAACUAUUAUCUUUAUAUAUUUAUAUAUUCAUGUUGGGACCAUGAAUUUAAAAGAAUAUAGAUGCAAGUCUACUUUCAGUAUUCUUUUCCGAACGUGAAUUAGAAGAUCCGAUUACUGAGGAGGAAACCAGUGGAAACGAAAACGAUUUGGAUGUGUGGUGAGUUGCACUGUUCCAUUGGGAGUGAUUUUUACUAACGUCAACCUCACCCAUUUGGGCUUGGACACAAGGCACAACUUCCUUCCUUCGCCAUUCCUAGAGGGUAUUUUUAUGUCUUCUUUUGAAUGGAUUUGUUUUAUGGGGACACAAUUAUUUUCCUACAUUACUUCAUAACUCUGGGAACAUAUUCUUGACCUGGAAAAUUCUUUUUUUUUUUUUUUAAUGUGACAUGAAGUGUUUUUGGAAACUGCAGUUACCUGUGAAGAAAUAUACUAUUUCUGUUUAGUUCUAUUUUCCCUUCCCACCCUGCAAAUACUCAAAAGACAUUCAAAGAUCUCAUUUUUAUCUUUCCCAACCAUGUAAAUCUAUAGAGUUUCCAACUGUAAAACAGGCAACACGAGACACCUUUGGAUGAUGCAUGGAGACUUAAGUUUACCUUCCCCAUGCAUCUAUGAUCAUACUAAUACAUUUCUUAAAACUUCCAUGUUUAAAGGGUCAGAUCAAAGUUCGGCGUUGUCCCCCAAAUAGGUGAACUGCUCUUUGAAAGUAUUUAUGACCCUGGAAAGUAUUUGGGAAGGAUUCAGGGUACAGGAUAGCCCAAAAGGGCCUGGGUCCUGCCUAGCACAGUUAAAGGCAUGAACACCCUCCCUGAAGGACUGUACUCAUGUUUCAGGGAUACACAACGUGCACAGUUACCUGGAUCUUGCCCUGGCUCCCCAGCCCCAGCCUGGGAGGUUCUGGCCAUGCUCCCCUCUCACAUUCCCAGCGCAAUGAACAGCUCCCCCACCCCUUUCCUCUAGUCUCCCCUCCAGCCUGACCAAACCCUUCCUUCCUACCUAAAUACUCACAAAGCACCAGCACAGACUUCGGAAGCUGGAAGUCACAUGACCAUGGUGACUUUGCCACCCUUUUAUAUUCCUUACUAACGUCCACUCUGAAGUGUGGUUUUGUUUUUAAUUUGUUUUACCUUUUACAACAUUUCUGUAACCGUGACGAGAUCAAACCUUGUCACUGAUCUAGCACAGCCAGCCCUCAAUGACAGGGUGUGACAGUGUCCUCUGUGUGACUCUAAGAUUCUCCUAAAUGCCCUAUACUCUAAGUGACGUCAAUGCUGGCAGCAAUUAAGCUAAGGCAGUUUGUGUCUCUGGUUUUCCUUUACAACAUUGCCACCGAGACAUCUGUCAAACUAUAUACAGUUACUUAGAGGGGCAACAACAGAUAUGUUUUGGAGGAAAAACACACUCUGGAGACCCAAACCCAUCUGAGAGUUUCCCCAUAUAUUCCAUCUGGGCUCUUCCUCCCCAGGCUGCUCAGAAAAGCAGCAGAAUAAGGGUUUAAUUUCCUAUUUUCUUUUAUGGACUAACCGUGAAAGAAACAACCUGCAACGUCAACAACAAAAAGUAAUUGCUUGAGUCUCUGGUUCUCCCAAGACUUAACUUCCCCUCCCCUUCUUUUUUCUUGUGUCUUGCUCUACAGAAGCACCAACUGAACCCACUGAAAGAUGCGCCAUCGAGAAGAACAAAUAAGUCCCUAGUUCCCACUUCUUCUGAUUCUCCAGCCGUCCAUCCCUGGAGAUUCUUUCUCAGCCAGGAUGCAAUCUUCAUCACCGGGAGAAUUUGACCCUCUUCUUUGAAACACUUCAGGGUGUGGUGGUUGGCGCUUUCCCGACAGUCUUGUCCCAGCUCUGGAAGGUGCUGGCUGACUUGGAGCCAGGGCCGGUGACAGAAGAACAUGAUGCCUUAUAUUCACCAUCAUGUCUCACCUUUACUGCACAUCUGUGAGGAAAACACUGUGCCUCUCCCUUUACAGAUGAGGAAACUGAGGCUCAGAGAGCUCAAGUAACGGGUAAGGUCACAGGGUUCAUUAGUAGGAAAGCCAGAAUCCCAGUGUAUGUCUGCCUGACACCAACAUCCAUGCCUCUCCCACCCCACACCUCCUCCUUCCACCCAACCCAUGAACUGGGUUCAGGUUCCCUGAACUUUGAACUUUGAACUAUUGUUGUUUCCUUGAACUAUCUCUAAACUUACCUGAGCGGAUCCAGCACCUGAUGUGAUGGCACACUUAUGCUUUCCCCUGUUUCCUUCCUCUGUUCUCUGGGUGAUUCCAGUGGUAAUGGUGGUAGUUGGUGAAAGGCAAUGUGAGUUGAGGAAGAUGAAGUAACUAGGCAGAGCCAAAGCAGUUUAUGCCCCAGCAUCUGGGGCUUUCCUCUCUCUCCAUUUCAGGAGGAAGUGAGAUGCCUCCAGAGGCAGAUGUAUGAAGGAGCAGACCAGCAACCAGGGCUGUGACUCACCACUUCCACAGGAACCACACCUGGGGCAACAUCCAGCCCAGUGGCCACUCACCCUAAAGGCCUUCUUCACCAUGUGAAGGGGUUAGCAGGCCUGUGUCAGAUCUGCCUACCACCAUAAGGUCACUGCAAGAGCUCCAUUGCCUGAAAAUGGAAGGAAUGAGAAAAGCCUGGUAUGGAAAGCCAGGAGGAGCCAGCCCUGCCAAGGGAUGAAGAUGUUGUUUGUACCAGGAUGGGUCCCAGCAGCACCAUCUGUUGGUGAGCUCACUUCAUUGAGAACAUCUUACACGAGAUUAGUCAGGUGUUGUUAAGAAAGAAGGAGAGAAAGAAAGACAGAC